rnacentral:rRNA from 1 species
UCGCCUUCGUGAAGGAGGAAUCGCUAGUAAUUGCAGGUCAGCAUACUGCAGUGAAUUCGUUCCCGGGCCUUGUACACACCGCCCGUCACACCAUGGAAGCUGGCAACGCCCGAAGUCAUUACUCCAACCCUCGGGGGGAGGAUGCCUAAGGCAGUGCUGGUGACUGGGGUGAAGUCGUAACAAGGUAGCCGUACCGGAAGGUGUGGCUGGAUCACCUCCUUUUUAGGGAG